rnacentral:lncRNA from 1 species
GCUCAAAGGACUGAUGGCUCUGUGAAGCAGCUGAACAGCAAGGAGAACAGCAGAAGAAGAACAGCUGAACAGCAGAGAAGUCAGAGUAGUCAUCUCAAUGAACAACCAACCUUUGCCCGUGGUGAAAUAGGAUCUCAUGAGAACAACAUUUUGUGAUUUCUCAACUUCCUAUCCACCUACCACACUUGAAGCUAAUACUUUUGACUUUUCUGGAGCUAAGAACACGUAACAUAAUCCCGGUACAGGAGAAGGCUUCUUCAGAAUGUGAUUACUGCUUCAUGCGUGAAGGGAAUCCCAGGGCUGUACCUACCCCAAAACCUCAUCCACAAAUACCUCAUCCACGUGUUGAAGGCAGCAAGAAGGAUUGUCACACCAACGUUGUUGCUCUUUGUGGGACAGCCACAGCAUCGUAGUGACCAGAGAGCCUCCUGGAAGCCAGCAGGAGAGGGAGCAGUGGGUGUGAUGUGAAGGAGUGCUGGAGAGCAGCCCUGUCAUGCUGAGCUCUCAGGAUAUGUUUGGGUAAUCCUAAAAGACUGCUUGGAGAAGCAGAAAGACACAGGGAGAAGAAGAAAGCAGGAGGCUGGCACAGCCGGCUCUGGAAAUGAUCAGAGGCACUAGUGCCAUAUUGCACCUCUGCACAUGGCCCCGUUGGUCCAUUACAGCUCUUUGCUGGAAGGCAGCUGGCAUCCAGGUAGCUCCAUUGGAGGUGUCUGCAGUGAGCCAAGCAGCAAAAGGGCCACAAAACAAAGGGCUGCACCGAUUCCUUGUUGGAAAGGAGAGGGAAACGCUGAACCUGUGCUGUUGAAGCUGAUGUCAAAACCUUGGUGUUUUCCAGUCAGUGAUAAGGCAGAGCCUGUGGAGAAGGAUUGCUGGCACCUCCUCAGGGUCUGUGUGUCCUGCCUGGCCCCAGCUGGAUGGGCUCAGCCUGGAUCCUGUUGGUGUGAGGGGAUGGGGUGA